rnacentral:rRNA from 1 species
CCUACGGGAGGCAGCAGUGAGGAAUAUUGGUCAAUGGACGAGAGUCUGAACCAGCCAAGUAGCGUGAAGGAUGACUGCCCUAUGGGUUGUAAACUUCUUUUAUAUGGGAAUAAAAUGUUCCACGUGUGGGAUUUUGUAUGUACCAUAUGAAUAAGGAUCGGCUAACUCCGUGCCAGCAGCCGCGGUAAUACGGAGGAUCCGAGCGUUAUCCGGAUUUAUUGGGUUUAAAGGGAGCGUAGGUGGAUUGUUAAGUCAGUUGUGAAAGUUUGCGGCUCAACCGUAAAAUUGCAGUUGAAACUGGCAGUCUUGAGUGCAGUAGAGGUAGGCGGAAUUCGUGGUGUAGCGGUGAAAUGCUUAGAUAUCACGAAGAACUCCGAUUGCGAAGGCAGUUCACUGGACUGCAACUGACACUGAGGCUCGAAAGUGUGGGUAUCAAACAGGAUUAGAUACCCGUGUAGUC